CGUAUCACCCAAGACAACUUUACGGAGUUGACGAUUGACGGAGCGAAGCGACGUCAAAGCGUUCAUUAAAGUCGAGUUGGCUUAGGGAUACGUUCGUUGGGUAGGGGAGCGUUCUGUAAGCCUGCGAAGGUGGCCUGUGAGGGUUGCUGGAGGUAUCAGAAGUGCGAAUGCUGACAUAAGUAACGAUAAAGCGGGUGAAAAGCCCGCUCGCCGGAAGACCAAGGGUUCCUGUCCAACGUUAAUCGGGGCAGGGUGAGUCGACCCCUAAGGCGAGGCCGAAAGGCGUAGUCGAUGGGAAACGGGUUAAUAUUCCCGUACUUGGUGUUACUGCGAAGGGGGGACGGAGAAGGCUAUGUUGGCCGGGCGACGGUUGUCCCGGUUUAAGCGUGUAGGUGUGUGUUCCAGGUAAAUCCGGUUCACUU
rnacentral:rRNA from 1 species